AUACGUAGGGGGCGAGCGUUGUCCGGAAUGAUUGGGCGUAAAGGGCGCGUAGGCGGCGCGGUAAGUCUGGAGUGAAAGUCCUGCUUUCAAGGUGGGAAUUGCUUUGGAUACUGCCGCGCUUGAGUGCAGGAGAGGUUAUCGGAAUUCCCGGUGUAGCGGUGAAAUGCGUAGAGAUCGGGAGGAACACCAGUGGCGAAGGCGGGUAACUGGACUGCAACUGACGCUGAGGCGCGAAAGUGUGGGGAGCAAACAGGAUUAGAUACCCUGGUAGUCCACACUGUAAACGAUGAAUGCUAGGUGUAAGAGGUAUCGACCCCUUUUGUGCCGGAGUUAACGCAAUAAGCAUUCCGCCUGGGGAGUACGGCCGCAAGGUUGAAACUCAAAUGAAUUGACGGGG
rnacentral:rRNA from 1 species